rnacentral:rRNA from 1 species
GGCGGACGGGUGAGGAAUACAUCGGAAUCUACUCUGUCGUGGGGGAGUAACGUAGGGAAACUUACGCUAAUACCGCAUACGACCUACGGGUGAAAGCAGGGAUCUUCGGACCUUGCGCGAUUGAAUGAGCCGAUGUCGGAUUAGCUAGUUGGCGGGGUAAAGGCCCACCAAGGCGACGAUCCGUAGCUGGUCUGAGAGGAUGAUCAGCCACACUGGAACUGAGACACGGUCCAGACUCCUACGGGAGGCAGCAGCC